UACGUAGGGGGCAAGCGUUUGUCCGGAAUCAUUGGGCGUAAAGCGCGCGUAGGCGGCCCUGUAAGUCCGUUGUGAAAGUCGAAGGCUCAACCUUUGAAAGCCGAUGGAUACUGUGAGGCUAGAGUCCGGAAGAGGCGAGUGGAAUUCCUGGUGUAGCGGUGGAAUGCGCAGAUAUCAGGAGGAACACCAAUGGCGAAGGCAGGUCUCUGGGCAUUAACUGCGCUGAGGAGCGAAAGCAUGGGGGAGCGAACAGG
rnacentral:rRNA from 1 species